UGGCAGAACAAAUAUUCACAGAACAAAAGGGAACCACAACCCAAAUUGAAGCAAAUCUCUAAAGCUUCGCUAGUACUAUUUCCACCUGCAACAUCGAGCGGUAGUCUACCUCAUCUCUCUCAAAACUAGAGAUGCCCUUUAUUUGCAAACCCAACUCUCCAUUGUUGAAACGACAGCGGUUCACCUCUCUGUCUCAAAACUAUAGAUGCAUAACCUUCUAUUGAAGUGGCAAUAGUCCACCUCAUCUCUCUCAAAACUAGUGAUAAUUAGCAAUACCCUCCAUUUGCAAACUUAACCCUCCAUUAUUGAAGCGAUUAACAGAGGGGUAGGUUCCUGUAGCUUCCUUCCAUUUGAGAGAGGGGUAGGGUUCAUACGGCUUCCUUUCAUUGAUAAAGGGUUAGGUUUCUGCUGCUUCCAUCCAUUACUGGAAAAGCAAGAAGCUAUUGACAAAGGGUUAGGGUUACUACGGGAAAGGUUAG
rnacentral:lncRNA from 1 species